rnacentral:rRNA from 1 species
UACGUAGGGUGCAAGCGUUGUCCGGAAUUAUUGGGCGUAAAGAGCUUGUAGGCGGUUUGUCGCGUCUGCUGUGAAAAUCCGGGGCUCAACCCCGGACUUGCAGUGGGUACGGGCAGACUAGAGUGUGGUAGGGGAGACUGGAAUUCCUGGUGUAGCGGUGAAAUGCGCAGAUAUCAGGAGGAACACCGAUGGCGAAGGCGGGUCUCUGGGCAACAACUGACGCUGAGGAGCGAAAGCGUGGGGAGCGAACAGG